rnacentral:rRNA from 1 species
GAUGAACGCUGGCGGCGUGCCUAAUACAUGCAAGUCGAGCGAACGGACGAGAAGCUUGCUUCUCUGAUGUUAGCGGCGGACGGGUGAGUAACACGUGGAUAACCUACCUAUAAGACUGGGAUAACUUCGGGAAACCGGAGCUAAUACCGGAUAAUAUUUUGAACCGCAUGGUUCAAAAGUGAAAGACGGUCUUGCUGUCACUUAUAGAUGGAUCCGCGCUGCAUUAGCUAGUUGGUAAGGUAACGGCUUACCAAGGCAACGAUGCAUAGCCGACCUGAGAGGGUGAUCGGCCACACUGGAACUGAGACACGGUCCAGACUCCUACGGGAGGCAGCAGUAGGGAAUCUUCCGCAAUGGGCGAAAGCCUGACGGAGCAACGUCGCGUGAGUGAUGAAGGUCUUCGGAUCGUAAAACUCUGUUAUUAGGGAAGAACAUAUGUGCAAGUAACUGUGCACAUCUUGACGGUACCUAAUCAGAAAGCCACGGCUAACUACGUG